rnacentral:rRNA from 1 species
UCCAGACUCCUACGGGAGGCAGCAGUGGGGGAUAUUGCACAAUGGGGGGAACCCUGAUGCAGCGACGCCGCGUGGGUGAAGGAGCGUUUCGGCGCGUAAAGCCCUAUCGGCAGGGAAGAAGGAGGACGGUACCUGACUAAGAAGCCCCGGCUAACUACGUGCCAGCAGCCGCGGUAAUACGUAGGGGGCAAGCGUUAUCCGGAUUUACUGGGUGUAAAGGGGGCGCAGACGGCAGCGCAAGCCAGGAGUGAAAGCCCGGGGCCCAACCCCGGGACUGCUCUUGGAACUGCGCGGCUGGAGUGCAGGAGGGGCAGGCGGAAUUCCUGGUGUAGCGGUGAAAUGCGUAGAUAUCAGGAGGAGCACCGGUGGCGAAGGCGGCCUGCUGGACUGCGACUGACGUUGAGGCCCGAAAGCGUGGGGAGCAAACAGGAUUAGAUACCCGGGUAC